AGGCGACAUGAUUCACUACCAAAUCGUUGCUUUGGAGUCUACUACCUCCUUCAUUGUAGAGAUUUUCAAGCAUAAAGGAUAGCGUACCAUAAAGCAUGACGCAAGGACUCUGCAGCCAAGUCUGCACACCCAUUGCCUUUAUCACGUUAUCCCUGAUGGCCAGGCUGGAAUAAAACCCAUCGAGCCUCCUAGACAUGGGUCAGAAUCACAUCUGGUCCCCAGACAGGAUUAUGCGCUUCCUCCAAGACCACUCUGCUGGAUGCCGCCUUCCAGGGCUGCGGCCUGUGGUGAGCGCUUCUGUUUUUCCACACCAGACCGACAAAUUCUGGAGGGCAGACAUCUAUCUCUCUGCUUCUACAGCAACGAUGCAGCUCUAGCCACACUGAACUAGUGAUUGAAACAUUUGACCAGAAUCACAUGUUUUUUUCCACUCAUUUACAUGAUCAUAACUUUGGAGUAGAGUCUAAGGGCUACUAGCUGUUUUUCAUCCUGGAAAUGUUUGAUUCGACUGAUCCUCCUCUUGGACCUUUGAACUUAAAGAACAUGUUUGGGGCUUAAGUUUAGCUGUUAGCUUCCUUGCAGAAGCAGUUUUUUUGAUUACCAUCCAAAAAGUAAUUAGCAUAAACAUUGACCAAACAGAGGAAAAUUUCUUUCAAGUGAGAAAUGACCCAAGUAUUGAAAUAAUCACCACAACAAGAAUUCCAUUUUUUUUACUCUUUUCCAGAUGUCAAUUUUAAAAUACAGCCUUGUAAAUACACUGCAAUCUUACAUUAAAAUUAUGUUACAGAGGUGAAUGAAAGAGGGGGCUUAUCUCUGAUACCAUCUAACUGUAUAUUUUUUUUUAAUUUAAAUGUUAAUUUUUUUAAUUUUAAAACUUACACAUGUGAUUUUAGACUAGUUGGAAUAGAAGAUAUAAGAUAUAAGCUAUAUAAGCUACCGCCAUGGUAGAGGUAGCUAUUGUUACUUUGUUUUAUUUCCUUCCAGUAAAGGAAGGGCUUCACCAAUGUGAUUUAACUCUGUAAAGUUGCGGGAGAGUAUGAAACCCCAAAGAAUGUUACAGCAAGUUUCCAUAGAGGUAGGUAUGCAGAAUAGCAUAAACAAGGAUUUGGGUACAUUUUACAACUGAAAUUCCUUACCUCUUUACCUCGGAGUCCAGUUCCCAACAAGUAAACUUGGCUUUCCUCUUGGUAACGGAUCUGGAUGUUGUAAACUUUAUCUUUGUACAACACCAUGAGGACAUACGGAUUGGUUAUUGUUUUUUUAGAGCUGUCUCUAACGAGAAAAGUGCCAUCCUAAAAGAAUAAAUUCUUAUUAUUACGUGAGCAAUAAAUGGCAAUACUUCUGUUGCCUGUAAGAGCAGUAGACAAGCCUCGAGAGAUCUGGAAACUUACCAGUUGC